AAUGAACGUUGGCGGCGUGGAUUAGGCAUGCAAGUCGCGCGAUUUCCUUCGGGGAAGAGCGGCGGAAGGGAGAGUAACGCGUAGAUACCUACCCUCGGGACCGGAAUAGCGACGGGAAACUGUCGGUAAUGCCGGAUAACGUCCCUGGACCAAAGAUGUGAAUCCGCCUGAGGAGGGGUCUGCGUCCUAUUAGCUAGUCGGCGGGGUAACGGCCCACCGAGGCGAAGAUGGGUACCGGGCGUGAGAGCGUGACCCGGCUCACUGGGACUGAGACACUGCCAAGACACCUACGGGUGGCUGCAGUCGAGAAUCUUCGGCAAUGAGCGCAAGCUUGACCGAGCGACGCCGCGUGCGGGAUGAAGGCUUUCGGGUUGUAAACCGCUGUCAGUGGGGAGGAAAUUCUUGGGGGUACUCCCCCUUGAUUGACCGAUCCGCAGAGGAAGGACGGGCUAAGUUCGUGCCAGCCGCCGCCGUAAUAC
rnacentral:rRNA from 1 species